rnacentral:rRNA from 1 species
GACGAACGCUGGCGGCGUGCCUAAUACAUGCAAGUAGAACGCUGAAGGAGGAGCUUGCUUCUCUGGAUGAGUUGCGAACGGGUGAGUAACGCGUAGGUAACCUGCCUGGUAGCGGGGGAUAACUAUUGGAAACGAUAGCUAAUACCGCAUAAUAGUAGAUGUUGCAUGACAUUUGCUUAAAAGGUGCAAUUGCAUCACUACCAGAUGGACCUGCGUUGUAUUAGCUAGUUGGUGGGGUAACGGCUCACCAAGGCGACGAUACAUAGCCGACCUGAGAGGGUGAUCGACCACACUGGGACUGAGACACGGCCCAGACUCCUACGGGAGGCAGCAGUAGGGAAUCUUCGGCAAUAGACGGAAGUCUGACCGAGCAACGCCGCGUGAGUGAAGAAGGUUUUCGGAUCGUAAAGCUCUGUUGUAAGAGAAGAACGAGUGUGAGAGUGGAAAGUUCACACUGUGACGGUAUCUUACCAGAAAGGGACGGCUAACUACGUG